UGCCUGCCCAGUGAAUAUUAAACGGCCGCGGUAUUUUGACCGUGCAAAGGUAGCGCAAUCACUUGCCCCCUAAUUAGGGGCCUGUAUGAAUGGCUAGACGAAGGCCCAACUGUCUCCCUUUUCAAAUCAGUUAAAUUGAUCUACCUGUGCAGAAGCAGGUAUCCACCUACAAGACGAGAAGACCCUUUGGAGCUUAAGAUUAAAGUCAAUUACAUCAAUAAGUUAUACUUAAACUAAGUAAUACUGACCCGCAUCUUCGGUUGGGGCGACCGCGGGGGAAAACCAAGCCCCCAUGAAGAAAGAUAAACCCUUCUAAACCCAGAAAGACAUUUCUAAGUCACAGAACAUCUGACUAAAAGAUCCGUUUUUAUACGACCAGCGAACCAAGUUACCCAAGGGAUAACAGCGCAAUCCCCUUCCAGAGUCCCUAUCGACAAGGGGGUUUACGACCUCGAUGUUGGAUCAGGACAUCCUAAUGGUGUAGCCGCUAUUAA
rnacentral:rRNA from 1 species